AGUGAACGCUGGCGGUAGGCCUAACACAUGCAAGUCGAACGGCAGCACAGUAAGAGCUUGCUCUUACGGGUGGCGAGUGGCGGACGGGUGAGGAAUACAUCGGAAUCUACUUUUUCGUGGGGGAUAACGUAGGGAAACUUACGCUAAUACCGCAUACGACCUACGGGUGAAAGCAGGGGAUCUUCGGACCUUGCGCGAUUGAAUGAGCCGAUGUCGGAUUAGCUAGUUGGCGGGGUAAAGGCCCACCAAGGCGACGAUCCGUAGCCGGUCUGAGAGGAUGAUCAGCCACACUGGAACUGAGACACGGUCCAGACUCCUACGGGAGGCAGCAGUGGGGAAUAUUGGACAAUGGGCGCAAGCCUGAUCCAGCCAUACCGCGUGGGUGAAGAAGGCCUUCGGGUUGUAAAGCCCUUUUGUUGGGAAAGAAAAGCAGCAGGUUAAUACCCCGCUGUUCUGACGGUACCCAACGAAUAAGCACCGGCUAACUUCGUG
rnacentral:rRNA from 1 species